AUGUGGGCGAGGGGUGUGGGUGAGAGUGACCUGCUGCCCCGACCCAGGUACCGUGUGCCCAGCUCUCAGAAUGACUGUGGCUCCACUGUCCCUGACAACCCCUUCGUCCGGACCGUCCCCCACACAGCUGUGUCUGGUCUCCAGCUCCCUCCUGCUGGCACCCAGAGACCCGGACCUGCAGGGCCUGCCUGGUUCCUGGAAGUCUUCCCAGUCUUCCCAGCCAGCCUGGGCCCUGGGGAGCCCUGGGCACAGCAGUGGCUGAGGGGAUGUCCUGCUCCAAUACCCGCACUGCUCUGGAGUUCGCCCUCUUUCCCAAGGAGAUGCUGCUGGGGAGCUGGUAUGGGUGGGGUCCUUCCCUUUACGGAUGGGGCAGAUGCCAGGACUCAGCCCAUCCUGAGGAGGACACGUGUCCGCGUGGAGGGUGCUCCGGCCCAGGCCUGGGAGUCGGUGCCCAGUCAGCAGCUCUGCCACCAUCCUGCUGGGAACUGGUGGGCCUCUAUUGGGUUAUAGGCAAGGCCUUUUCUCUGGCAUGGAAUUGUUAAUUUUCUGACACAUCUAGAUGUGAAACUUCUGAAAAUGUUGAAGUAGAGAAACAUUCACACACAAAAAGCAACAUAGUCAUGUGGGUCCAGAUGGCCUCAGUCCUGGAUAUUUGCACCCUUUGCUGUGUCUCCUCAGAAUAUCCUGUUCCCCCUCCUCCCACCUGGACCUCCCCUCGGCAGAUGCCUUCCCUCCCCGACCCCAGCCUGUCAGUGCAGGUUUGACACGCUGCACUGCACUGAGCACAGUGCAGGUUUGGGCCCUGACUUGGGCCUCGGGCUGCAGUGGGGUGGCUUUCAGAGCCUCUCAUGGCAGCAUCUAAGUGACCAGAGCUGGGAUGAGAGAGGGGAAGGGGCAGUGUGAGUGGCACUAUGGGGCGGGCCAGGCCUGUUCCUGAGCCAGCCCUGCCCUCUGCCCCCGGGCCCUGGGCUGUGUGCUAGGUAGGGAUGGUGAAGAAUGGGGGCGUGCCGGCCUGGCAGGAGUGGGAAGCAACACGCAGGGGUCCCGGGCCUCUCCAGCCUUGCCCUCAUGCUUACCCAAGCUCCCGGUGUGGUUAGUGGUUAGCACAGAGCUCACCCGCCUUGCCUGGCUCCCAGCUGAGGGCCUGUCCUCACUGGUGCUCCAGGGGAAGAAACGCCAGCCUUGCUUCUGUAUGGACUGCUGAUCUGGCCUGCUGUCCUGUUCAGUGAGCAUUGUCUUUGGAGCAGCAGGAGAAUAGGAUGCCUGUCACUCACAUGCCAGUUCCCAGCUGGCCAGCUGCUCAGGGCUCAGGCUGGGGCCUCCCAUUGACAUCCUCCCCCAACACUCCCCCUCCGGACCUCCGUUGCCCCUCCUGUUGGGUGAGGGUGUUGAGUGUGACUUGUGCUGAAAACCUGGUUCAUAUCUAAUAAAUAAUGGUGAUGAAAA